GUGUGACUGCGUACCUUUUGUAUAAUGGGUCAGCGACUUAUAUUCUGUAGCAAGGUUAACCGAAUAGGGGAGCCGAAGGGAAACCGAGUCUUAACUGGGCGUUAAGUUGCAGGGUAUAGACCCGAAACCCGGUGAUCUAGCCAUGGGCAGGUUGAAGGUUGGGUAACACUAACUGGAGGACCGAACCGACUAAUGUUGAAAAAUUAGCGGAUGACUUGUGGCUGGGGGUGAAAGGCCAAUCAAACCGGGAGAUAGCUGGUUCUCCCCGAAAGCUAUUUAGGUAGCGCCUCGUGAAUUCAUCUCCGGGGGUAGAGCACUGUUUCGGCAAGGGGGUCAUCCCGACUUACCAACCCGAUGCAAACUGCGAAUACCGGAGAAUGUUAUCACGGGAGACACACGGCGGGUGCUAACGUCCGUCGUGAAGAGGGAAACAACCCAGACCGCCAGCUAAGGUCCCAAAGUCAUGGUUAAGUGGGAAACGAUGUGGGAAGGCCCAGACAGCCAGGAUGUUGGCUUAGAAGCAGCCAUCAUUUAAAGAAAGCGUAAUAGCUCACUGGUCGAGUCGGCCUGCGCGGAAGAUGUAACGGGGCUAAACCAUGCACCGAAGCUGCGGCAGCGACGCUUAUGCGUUGUUGGGUAGGGGAGCGUUCUGUAAGCCUGUGAAGGUGUACUGUGAGGUAUGCUGGAGGUAUCAGAAGUGCGAAUGCUGACAUAAGUAACGAUAAAGCGGGUGAAAAGCCCGCUCGCCGGAAGACCAAGGGUUCCUGUCCAACGUUAAUCGGGGCAGGGUGAGUCGACCCCUAAGGCGAGGCCGAAAGGCGUAGUCGAUGGGAAACAGGUUAAUAUUCCUGUACUUGGUGUUACUGCGAAGGGGGGACGGAGAAGGCUAUGUUGGCCGGGCGACGGUUGUCCCGGUUUAAGCGUGUAGGCUGGUUUUCCAGGCAAAUCCGGAAAAUCAAGGCUGAGGCGUGAUGACGAGGCACUACGGUGCUGAAGCAACAAAUGCCCUGCUUCCAGGAAAAGCCUCUAAGCAUCAGGUAACAUCAAAUCGUACCCCAAACCGACACAGGUGGUCAGGUAGAGAAUACCAAGGCGCUUGAGAGAACUCGGGUGAAGGAACUAGGCAAAAUGGUGCCGUAACUUCGGGAGAAGGCACGCUGAUAUGUAGGUGAAGCGACUUGCUCGUGGAGCUGAAAUCAGUCGAAGAUACCAGCUGGCUGCAACUGUUUAUUAAAAACACAGCACUGUGCAAACACGAAAGUGGACGUAUACGGUGUGACGCCUGCCCGGUGCCGGAAGGUUAAUUGAUGGGGUCAGCGCAAGCGAAGCUCUUGAUCGAAGCCCCGGUAAACGGCGGCCGUAACUAUAACGGUCCUAAGGUAGCGAAAUUCCUUGUCGGGUAAGUUCCGACCUGCACGAAUGGCGUAAUGAUGGCCAGGCUGUCUCCACCCGAGACUCAGUGAAAUUGAACUCGCUGUGAAGAUGCAGUGUACCCGCGGCAAGACGGAAAGACCCCGUGAACCUUUACUAUAGCUUGACACUGAACAUUGAGCCUUGAUGUGUAGGAUAGGUGGGAGGCUUUGAAGUGUGGACGCCAGUCUGCAUGGAGCCGACCUUGAAAUACCACCCUUUAAUGUUUGAUGUUCUAACGUUGACCCGUAAUCCGGGUUGCGGACAGUGUCUGGUGGGUAGUUUGACUGGGGCGGUCUCCUCCUAAAGAGUAACGGAGGAGCACGAAGGUUGGCUAAUCCUGGUCGGACAUCAGGAGGUUAGUGCAAUGGCAUAAGCCAGCUUGACUGCGAGCGUGACGGCGCGAGCAGGUGCGAAAGCAGGUCAUAGUGAUCCGGUGGUUCUGAAUGGAAGGGCCAUCGCUCAACGGAUAAAAGGUACUCCGGGGAUAACAGGCUGAUACCGCCCAAGAGUUCAUAUCGACGGCGGUGUUUGGCACCUCGAUGUCGGCUCAUCACAUCCUGGGGCUGAAGUAGGUCCCAAGGGUAUGGCUGUUCGCCAUUUAAAGUGGUACGCGAGCUGGGUUUAGAACGUCGUGAGACAGUUCGGUCCCUAUCUGCCGUGGGCGCUGGAGAACUGAGGGGGGCUGCUCCUAGUACGAGAGGACCGGAGUGGACGCAUCACUGGUGUUCGGGUUGUCAUGCCAAUGGCACUGCCCGGUAGCUAAAUGCGGAAGAGAUAAGUGCUGAAAGCAUCUAAGCACGAAACUUGCCCCGAGAUGAGUUCUCCCUGACUCCUUGAGAGUCCUGAAGGAACGUUGAAGACGACGACGUUGAUAGGCCGGGUGUGUAAGCGCAGCGAUGCGUUGAGCUAACCGGUACUAAUGAACCGUGAGGCUUAACCUU
rnacentral:rRNA from 1 species